GGGGAUGUAGCUCAGUGGUAGAGCGUCCGCUUCGCACGUGGAACGCCCGGGGUUCGAUUCCCCGCAUCUCCA
rnacentral:tRNA from 2 species